rnacentral:rRNA from 1 species
AUUGAACGCUGGCGGCAGGCCUAACACAUGCAAGUCGAGCGGAAGAAGCGAAAUUGCUCCUGGUUACAGCGGGGGACGGGUGAGUAAUGCCUAGAUACCUGCCUGGCUGUGUUUGAUAACGUCCCGACACGGGCACAAAUACCGCACACGCGCUUACGGAGCAAGUGGGGGAUCUUCGGACCUCACGCUCUCAGAUGAUCCUAGGUCGGAUUAGCUAGUUGGUGGGGUAAAGGCCUACCAAGGCGACGAUCCGUAACUGGUCUGAGAGGAUGAUCAGUCACACUGGAACUGAGACACGGUCCAGACUCCUACGGGAGGCAGCAGUGGGGAAUAUUCGACAAUGGGCGAGAGCCUGAUCCAGCCAUACCGCGUGUGUGAAGAAGGACUUCGGGUUGUAAAGCGCUUUAAGUAGGGAAGAAAAGCAGUAGGUUAAUACCUUGCUGUUUUGACGUUACCAAGAGAAUAAGCACCGGCUAACUUCGUG